rnacentral:rRNA from 1 species
AUUGAACGCUGGCGGCAGGCCUAACACAUGCAAGUCGAGCGGCAGCGGGAAAGUAGCUUGCUACUUUUGCCGGCGAGCGGCGGACGGGUGAGUAAUGCCUGGGAAAUUGCCCAGUCGAGGGGGAUAACAGUUGGAAACGACUGCUAAUACCGCAUACGCCCUACGGGGGAAAGCAGGGGACCUUCGGGCCUUGCGCGAUUGGAUAUGCCCAGGUGGAUUAGCUAGUUGGUGAGGUAAUGGCUCACCAAGGCGACGAUCCCUAGCUGGUCUGAGAGGAUGAUCAGCCACACUGGAACUGAGACACGGUCCAGACUCCUACGGGAGGCAGCAGUGGGGAAUAUUGCACAAUAGGGGGAAACCCUGAUGCAGCCAUGCCGCGUGUGUGAAGAAGGCCUUCGGGUUGUAAAGCACUUUCAGCGAGGAGGAAAGGUUGAUGCCUAAUACGUAUCAACUGUGACGUUACUCGCAGAAGAAGCACCGGCUAACUCCGUGCCAGCCGCCGCAGUAAAAC